GACGAACCGUGCGAACGUUAUUCGGAAUCACUGGGCUUAAAGGGCGCGUAGGCGGGCUCGUAAGUCAGGGGUGAAAUCCCACGGCCCAACCGUGGAAGUGCCUCUGAUACUGCGGGCCUCGAGGGGGAUAGGGGCGUGCGGAACUCAGGGUGGAGCGGUGAAAUGCGUAGAUAUCCUGAGGAACACCGGUGGCGAAAGCGGCGCGCUGGAUCCCUUCUGACGCUGAGGCGCGAAAGCCAGGGGAGCAAAGCGGGG
rnacentral:rRNA from 1 species